UGUUUUUUGUUUUUUGUUUUUUGCAACAACAUACAUAUGCCUCUGGAUCAUUUCUAACAGCUUCAUAUCAUGCCUCAUUGUAAUUCAUUUAGCUUGCUUAUUUACCCAUAAUGCAUAUUAAUUUUGAUCAUUUUUAUUAUUAUGUAUUAAAUAAGCAUUUUGGCUUUGAUGUUGGCAGCUUGACAUGAAACUUCAGAUUGAACGGCAUCAUAAGAAGAUAGAAAGCUUUUCACAGCAGGGGAAGGGCUGCCAAAGGACACACAUUUUGAGAAUGUGUCACAUACUGAACAUGUGACAGAACUUCAGAAGGCCUUUGAUUCCAGGGUAACAUGUGGCUAUUGGAAAAGGUUGUCACCCUCACCAAUGGUGCUGGCCACAUACUGAUCGAUGGCAUUGGAGACUUCUGCUCUCUUCACCCCAGCUUUAAACUUCAUGGAAAGCACUCGUGGAUGA
rnacentral:lncRNA from 1 species